rnacentral:rRNA from 1 species
GAAGGGGGAUGCAAGCUUUAUCCGGAAUCACUGGGCGUAAAGCGUCUGUAGGUGGUGAUGCAAGUCACUGGUGCAAAACUCUGGCUCAACCGGAGGAAAGCCAGUGAAACUGCAUGACUAGAGUGUGGGAGAGGUAGAAGGAAUUCCCUGAGUAGCGGUGAAAUGCGUAGAUACAGGGAAGAACACCGGAGGCGAAAGCGUUCUACUGGAACACAACUGACACUGAGAGAUGAAAGCUAGGGGAGCGAAUGGG